GUAGGUGAACCUGCGGAAGGAUCAUUAACACGUAUCCAAACGUAAAACCCCCCGUGAACAAUAUCCGCUUAUCUCCUGACGGUUGCCGCGACUUCCUUGCCCUGUACAUACUUGUCCUCUUGAGCGUGUUAUUGCAACGAUCAAGAGGGGAAAAGAUGGGGCAUGGGGACUCUCGGCGCUGGACUGGAUCGAGAGGUUCGCAAAAGUGCUCGGUUGCCCCUGUUCCCUGGAAUGUAGCGGGUGAUAGUGG
rnacentral:misc_RNA from 1 species